rnacentral:rRNA from 1 species
UACGUAGGGGGGCAAGCGUUGUCCGGAAUCAUUGGGCGUAAAGAGCGCGUAGGCGGCCCUGUAAGUCCGCUGUGAAAGUCAAGGGCUCAACCCUUGGAUGCCGGUGGAUACUGCAGGGCUAGAGUCCGGAAGAGGCGAGUGGAAUUCCUGGUGUAGCGGUGAAAUGCGCAGAUAUCAGGAGGAACACCAAUGGCGAAGGCAGCACUCUGGGACGGUACUGACACUGAGACGCGAAAGCGUGGGGGAGCGAACAGG